rnacentral:rRNA from 1 species
GAUGAACGCUGGCGGCGUGCUUAACACAUGCAAGUCGAACGGAAAGGCCCAAGCUUGCUUGGGUACUCGAGUGGCGAACGGGUGAGUAACACGUGGGUGAUCUGCCCUGCACUUCGGGAUAAGCCUGGGAAACUGGGUCUAAUACCGGAUAGGACCACUUCUUGGAUGUUGUGGUGGAAAGUUUUUUCGGUGUGGGAUGAGCUCGCGGCCUAUCAGCUUGUUGGUGGGGUAAUGGCCUACCAAGGCGUCGACGGGUAGCCGGCCUGAGAGGGUGUACGGCCACAUUGGGACUGAGAGACGGCCCAGACUCCUACGGGAGGCAGCAGUGGGGAAUAUUGCACAAUGGGCGCAAGCCUGAUGCAGCGACGCCGCGUGGGGGAUGACGGCCUUCGGGUUGUAAACUCCUUUCGCUAGGGACGAAGCGUUUUGUGACGGUACCUGGAGAAGAAGCACCGGCUAACUACGUG